rnacentral:lncRNA from 1 species
UAAAAAAGUCCAACAAAAUAAUUUUUGAGCUUUAAAAUCGAAAGUUCGGAGAUAUGAUUGCGAAUUUUAUACACUGUAUUUUUAAUGAAGAAUUAAGAAUUCAUUGGUACAGAUCGUAUUCAUUGUAUCGUAUCGUGCCAAUAAAAUAUUAGCAUGAUACAGCUUCCGUAUCGAUUACAUAGCUUAAAACCUUAUAUUUUUUAAAUUAAUAAAUAUUUUUUUUAAUAAAAUUCAAAAAAUUUGAUGCCAAUAUACAUAAUAAAUAAUUAGAAUAUUUUAUUCUUAAAAAAAUAAAUAUUUCAUACCACUAUGUAUCGUUUGCGAUUGAAACGCAACCGCA